rnacentral:rRNA from 1 species
UACGAAGGGGGCUAGCGUUGUUCGGAAUUACUGGGCGUAAGGCGCACGUAGGCGGAUUGUUAAGUUAGGGGUGAAAUCCCGGGGCUCAACCCCGGAACUGCCUUUAAUACUGGCAAUCUCGAGUCCGAGAGAGGUGAGUGGAAUUCCGAGUGUAGAGGUGAAAUUCGUAGAUAUUCGGAGGAACACCAGUGGCGAAGGCGGCUCACUGGCUCGGUACUGACGCUGAGGUGCGAAAGCGUGGGGAGCAAACAGG